UACGAAGGGUGCAAGCGUUACUCGGAAUUACUGGGCGUAAAGCGUGCGUAGGUGGUUUGUUAAGUCUGAUGUGAAAGCCCUGGGCUCAACCUGGGAAUUGCAUUGGAUACUGGCAGGCUAGAGUGCGGUAGAGGAUGGCGGAAUUCCGGUGUAGCAGUGAAAUGCGUAGAGAUCGGGAGGAACAUCUGUGGCGAAGGCGGCCAUCUGGACCAGCACUGACCACUGAGGCACGAAAGCGUGGGGAGCAACAGG
rnacentral:rRNA from 1 species